UCCAUAGAUGCUGCCUCACCCGUUGAGUUUCUCCAGCAUUUUUGUCUACCUUCGAUUUUUCAGCAUCUGCAGUUCCUUCUUAAAUACUCUGAGAAUAAUCUGUCUUUUCUUUAGUUUCAAAGCAAAGCCACUGAUUUCAGCAAUGAACAAUCCAAAAAUUCGUCGGGUCACCAGAUGUAACAAGUUUGAUGAUCGGUCUUCAGAUUCCAAGAGGCACCUAAACGGACCUUCACAGAAUGAACAAUGCAAACAGAAGAAAAGAACGAGUAUGGUACCCAAGAAAAAACCAUUUAUACCAUUUGCAGACAAACUCAAGAUGGAAGAGUUAGAGGAGGAUAAACUUGCAGUAAAAAUGUUAAACACGUGGGAAGCAUCUCCAUCUCUGGUAAACCCAUGAUUGGCAGUGAUGUGAAAAGAAAUGAAUAAAUAUGUCACACAGCAAAGGUCUUUGAUUCUCAUGUUAUUUUGUAAACGCUUGAAUCCUAAAUGAAUACUGGACUCCUUUAACCAAAAAGUCAAAAACCUUAUUUGGGAAUAGAGUUCAGUUUCAUCUUUGACACUCAUUUUACUAGAGGCAGGGAAAGGUCUUUAUGCAGGUGUCUUUCUGAGAAAAGUGCUCAAUUAGUCCCUGCCCACAUACUCUUCCACCUCCAUUAUAAUGGCAAAGAAAAAUGUGCUCACCAAAAAUCCAAUGCUUGGUCCCUCAUUAUUUGCCACAGCGCUUCAUGGUGGGAGAAAUAUGCCUCACACCCUAGGAAGCAAAGGAAAUCACAUUCCAGAUAGUGAUGUAUAUGAAAGCAGCUUAAAAUAAUCCUAAAAGCUUUCCUCGCUCCUUUUUUUGAAGAAUAUAUUAUACCCCUGUUCAGCCUCAAAACUUCCCCUUCUAAAAUCAGACCAGGCUGAAUGUGGAACAGUUACUCCUAAAAAUGAACAAAUGAACUAUCAUGCAUUGUGAAUGCAAGUGCUUGAAUAUUGGAACUGAGACUUUGUUCUUUAUUUAAAUAAGCAUAACAUUGAGCAUUUUGACAGUGCAAUAUUGGUAGACUGAUCCAGAAAAUUAAGAUGUAGCAGAUUAACAGUGGAAUUAGCCACAUGGAAUCAGAACUGGUUUACUGAUAGAAGGCAGAAGUUAGUGACGGUGGGAUAAUAUUUAGGCUGGAGGUCUGUGACAAGUAGAGUUCCACAGGGAUCUUUGAUGGGAAAUCUGCCUUUUAGUUUAGUUUAGAGAUACAGCACAGAAACAGGCCCUUCGGCCCACCGAGUCCGCGCUGGCCAGUGAUCGUACUAUUAACACUAUCCUACACACACUAGGGACAAUUUACACUUACACCAAGCCAAUUAACCUACAAACCUGUAUGUCUUUGGAAUGUGGGAGGAAACCGAAGAUCUCGGUGAAAACCCACGCGGUCACGGGGACA